UAUUGGUCAAUAGCCUAACUGGCUGAACCAGCAACUUGGAGGAAUGGAUAGGGAAAGCCGGUAAAAGGCAAUGUACCUAGUAGUAUUAGAAAUGAAUAUGAGGUUAACGAAGUUAAUUAAAAUUCGAAGUAGGUAGGUGAUUAUGACAAUAUCUGCUGAUGUCUUGACCAAGUCACGUGCCAGCAGUCGCGGUAAUACGUGGAAGAUAAGUGUUAUUCAUCUUUAAUAGGUUUAAAGGGUACCUAGACAGUUAAUUAAGCAAUGUACUAAUUAAAACUAGAGUUUAAUAUAGGAAGGGUCAGUACGAUGCGGAGUAGAGAUAAAAUUCUUUGAUACUUAUGGGGACUGGUAAAGGCGAAGGCAACCUUUUAUGUAAAAACUGACGUUGAGGGACGAAGGCUCAAGGAGAAAAAAGAGGAUUAGAUACCCUUGUAUAGUGGGCAGACAAUGAUGAGUGUCAUAUGUAAGUUUUGUGUAUAAAUGAAAGUGUAAGCACUCCACCUCAAGAGUAACGUGGCAACAUGGGAACUGAAAUCAUUAGGCCGUUUCUGAAACUCGUAGUGAAGUAUGUUGUUUAAUUUGUUGGUCCUCAAAUAACCUUACCACAAUUUGUAUAGCUUGAACAAGCGUUGCACGGCUGUUUUUAGUCAAUGUUGUGAAACUUUGGUUAGGUCCAUUAAAUUGAUGUAAGCCCUUGCUUUAUUUAAUAAAAAGUAGUUCGCCACUGUAUUGGUAGCGAUAUAAGGGACUAAGACAAGUCAUCAUGACCUGAACAUUGUGGGCUAUAGACGUGCCAC
rnacentral:rRNA from 2 species